GAAUGUGGUUUGUAAAUUAAAUGACUAAAUGUGUAUCAGAUUUUCCUCAAUAGUUUCAGAUGCCUGAAAGAGAUAAUGAUCUUCCUGCAUUCAGGUCUCAGCUCCACAACUUUUCCAAAAGUUUCCAGUUUGAUUCUGUGAUUGAGUUCAAUGCAGUUGCUAGCUCUUUAUGAAGGAUGAACUCUGAUCUCCUUCCUGGCUUGAAAACUAGACGUGAUAUAUAUUAGUAACACUUUUUGUACUCAGAGAGCAUCCCUCAAACUUUUCACCUGUUUUUUUCCCAACUUUGUGGCUAGACAAAACACUCAGGCUUGUAUAACUGGGAAGAGAAAGACCAUUUGAAAAUUUCCCCGCAGAAAUGGAAAGCCUUCACCAUUUCUGCACACUAUUCAAUUCCUUGGGACGCUCGUAUGCUGUAUAAAUUAGCAUCAUUACAAGGGAAGAAAGACAAAGUAUUGGACAAGUCAAAUCUACAUCCUAAAUUUCUCUAAACAAAUUAUUCUUCUAUUUUAGGAUUGCUAGUUGUCAUCUGAAAUAAAGUGUCAUUCUACCCAUUCUCAAGAGAAAACAAACACGAAGAAUCAAACUGAAUUCAUUCCUUAACUCCUCUGACAGCUUGAAACUGGUGUGUGGAUAUUGUUGCCUGCUAUUAGAGCAGGUUGAUUAGAGUCAACCUCAUUUUGGAGGGAAGAACCACAGAAAUGGGAUUUAAAAAAAAAAAAAAAUCUUUAAAAUUGCCCAUGAGUGGGGCAUUUCACAAAUAAAGUACUCUGACCUUUAGUAUUUCUACCCUAAAUUAAGUGUCUCUUAAUUUAAUCCAUGUUUUUAACAGCAGCUCUUGGAAAAUUCUAAAAAUAAGACAAUCUACCUGCUCUCUUGCAUCAUAGAAAUGAAAGCAUUUGGCAGAAAAGAAAAUCCCUUAGAACUGUGGCAGGCUGUGGUUAGUGGCAUUGAAUGGACAGUUCAUUAUUCAGCUAUGAUUUUUUCUUCUUUCCAUCUAGGACAGAACUCCUGCGAAGAACCGCUGGAGUAUGACAGCCUCCUUACAGCAGAGCUGCCAGGGCCGAGGACAGCCACAGGAAGCAGCCAGCAGCGCGGUGUGGGCAGCUCAGCUGUGCUACAGAUCUGUGCCGGUGGAAGGGAUUCCAACCCAGUCGCUUGGGAUGCACCAAACAGGCAUGUGAACGUA